UACGGAGGAUGCAAGCGUUAUCCGGAAUGAUUGGGCGUAAAGCGUCCGCAGGUGGUUAUACAAGUCUGCUGUCAAAGCGCAAGGCUCAACCUUGUAAAGGCAGUGGAAACUGUGUGACUAGAGAGUGAUAGGGGCAGAGGGAAUUCCCAGUGUAGCGGUGAAAUGCGUAGAGAUUGGGAAGAACACCGGUGGCGAAAGCGCUCUGCUGGGUCAUAUCUGACACUGAGGGACGAAAGCUAGGGGAGCGAAA
rnacentral:rRNA from 1 species